rnacentral:tRNA from 1 species
UAGCUCAGUUGGUAGAGCAUGGUGCUUGCAUGCUAUGGUUGUGGGUUCAAUUCCCAC